rnacentral:rRNA from 1 species
UGGGGAAUAUUGCACAAUGGGCGAAAGCCUGAUGCAGCGACGCCGCGUGAGGGAUGACGGCCUUCGGGUUGUAAACCUCUUUCAGUAGGGACGAAGCGCAAGUGACGGUACCUGCAGAAGAAGCACCGGCUAACUACGUGCCAGCAGCCGCGGUAAUACGUAGGGUGCGAGCGUUGUCCAGAAUUACUGGGCGUAAAGAGCUCGUAGGCGGUUUGUCACGUCGUCUGUGAAAUCCUAGGGCUUAACCCUGGACGUGCAGGCGAUACGGGCUGACUUGAGUACUACAGGGGAGACUGGAAUUUCUGGUGUAGCGGUGGAAUGCACAGAUAUCAGGAAGAACACCGAUGGCGAAGGCAGGUCUCUGGGUAGUAACUGACGCUGAGGAGCGAAAGCAUGGGUAGCGAACAGG